UUCCAUAACCAAACCUCUAGUAUUUUCAGCUGCUUGAAGCUAGUGUACAAAACCGAAAGUAAAAGACGCAAAAACUAACUUUAAUAACGUAAGCAUAGAAAUACAACACAGAACAGAGCUACCGCUUCUAAAGCCCCGUUUCCACUGGCACUUGAAAUUUGGGCCAGAUUCGACCUGGGUCGAGGGAAACCCGGGCCAGCGCAGCCCAGUUUCACAACUGGCGCCAGCUCAAUUCGAAUUCGGAUUGGUGACCCAUUACUAUGCAACCACCAAGUGGAUCACUGCUGGAUGCGGUUCUGUUCUGUGGGUGUCACUGAGUAGGCUGAUACCCCAUUACAUGGACCCAAGAUGAUGAUCCAUAGGACCUGAGUCCUAGGACCAAGCCUCAGGACUACCUAUCCUGAUGACUCCUUAAUGUCCCCAGUCCACCUGGUCGUGCUGCUACUCCAGUUUCAACUGUUCUGCCUGCGGCUAUGGAACCCUGACCUGUUCGCCGGACAUGCUACCUUGUCCCAGACCUGCUGUUUUCGA